rnacentral:sRNA from 1 species
GUCACUCGCUCCACAGCCGGACGGCUGAAACCCGUCGCACAUUGGUGCGGCGGGUUCUGAGUGACCAGCCCGAGCCAUCGCCGACGAGGGGGUGACCUUGAUGGCUACGUUCCGUGCAGGUGUGCCGACCCACCAGUCCGUGCUUCCUCAGCGGGCUGCUCUGGAACCUAUACCUGCAGACACCUCCGGGAGCAGAGACGAAACGGGGUACGGGGCCCUGCUUGUGUAAGGCAGGGGAACCGGUACGGGACAUGGGCGAGGGGAUACCCGCAUGCGAUCACCUUUGCUAGCGG